UUUGAAAUAGCUCAGUCGGUAGAGCACGAGACUCUUAAUCUCAGGGUAAUGAGUUCAAGUCCCAUGUUGGGCAAAA